CAGAAGUUACAAGCAAGCAACCAAUGAUUUGUCUCAGAGAGUAGGUCUUUCCCAAAAGCAACACAGAGAAGAUAAGCUGCCACACCAGGAAAGACUGGAGAGAACAUUCAGAAGACUAUUAUUUUGACAACAUAGUCAUUUGUUUUUCUUUCUAAACAUCGCCCGUCGGCUCCGCAUCAAGGGCAAAGCCCCAACAAGAAAACAUAUCGAUGUAAUACCCAACACGCACGUCUCGCAAUCCUCCUCGCGAUCUCCCCUGAUGCCGCCUGUAGGCGCCGCCUCCCACGGACGUCUCACCGAUCCUUCUGUCCACGCGCCAUCGCCAAGCCAUUGUCUCCAUCGGCGCCAUGACGGCUGCGGCCUCCUCACCUGCCGCCGCCUCUGCUCCAGAUCUGACCGCCGUUGACGUCUACGUUUAUUUAAAGGACGGCGCUAUCUGCCCGCAUUCAUCGCAGCCGGUGUCAGUGUAUCCCAGCCAAGGAUGCCGUAUUCACCUUCAACAUGGGGGCGACGAGGAAGAGGUGCCCCAGUGGAAUGAAGUGUCUCCACGUCGCUCUUGUGUUGUGUGAUCUGGGGGGAUCAAAAGGAGGAAGAGGAGACCAGGGUUCAACAGACAUCCAAAGGACCCAGACAACAUCCUCCCCAGAUGUCAUACUUCAAGCCCGUAGCCACCGCCUCCUCAAUCUACACUAGCCUGCAGCAGCAAGGUUGAUUGAUUCUUGCCCAACAAAUGGUACAGAUUAAGCAUGCGCGUGCGUUCCAACUCCUACUUGCUUUUGGCUUCCUGAAAGUGCACAUUUGUAGACCACGUCCAGAUUAAACAUUCAGAUUGGUAAUUCAUAGCUUUUGCUUUCAGCUCAAUAUAGGGUAUGCACAGCUUGGUAAUUCAAAAUACGCCCGGAUUAAGUGUGCGUGUGCGUUUUGUUCUGCACAGAUUUUGAGGAGUUUUCUGUGAAUGUAUGGGUAACUAAUCUAGAUUUUUAUGUCCAUACUAAGCGUGCAACACGAUUAGUGCACAUUAGUAAUCUUGUCCGGAAUUAACUACUCAUUUUGUAUGUAGUUCUAUAGUGAACAAGAAGCCAUUUUCAGUUCUGUCAUUCUGUUAGAGAAUUGUGUCUUACCAUAUAUAAAUAUUUUGCUGGAAAUAGUGGGAAUUUACUCCUCUUUAGGGAUUCAUAUUUGCCUAUCAAAUUAAUGCAGUUGAAACUUUGACACGGGAUGUAGCGGGGUUAGGAGAAAAUCCAAUGCACUAUGUACUUAAACUUGCAGGAUUUGAUACACUUCUGAACUCAUACAUCAACUGCAAAUAUGGUUUUAUUUCAUGACAAGUCUUCUUGGUUGUUCUACUAAUUAUCUUGUCAAUUUGAAUUCAUGGGACAAGAAUUGCACAUCAGUUAUGAAGAUCUAUGUGUAUAGAAAAAUCAGGAAGAGAGCAUAACUGAGGUUCAUACAAACAUAGGUAGGUUUGAGUUAGAUCAAUCCUUUAUUCGUGUUAAUUCAAAAUAAAAAUCAUAUAUUAACCUUGACCCUUACUUAGCACUAACUUUAUAGUAGAAUCGCUCCUGCACUGCAUUGGUAAUUUCCUUUGAUUGAUGAGAUUGGCAGUAAGGUUGGUUCUUGAUUCUAUAGGGACUUCAUGGCAUCAUGGGUAGGUCUAGGUAGGUCCCUUUGAUGGAUUAAUUAGCCGGAAGGGUGUUUUUUAAAUGACUUCUCCCAUGCUCAUAGAUGAAGCUUAUAAUUUUUUUGCCAAUGAAUGUUACCUCAUGUCCAUAGCUGAAGCUCAGUGAUAUAAGAAUGCAGGCUUGCUCAAUGGUCAGAUGAUGGGGAGAAGACUUCUGGUUUUUAUGCUUGUAAUGUUUAUGAGGCAAUAACACACGGAGUGGUAAUCGUUACCUAAUCAUGAGCAUAAGUUGACAGUAACACUAAAUUAUUUACGCUAGCUCGGUAGCUCCUACAUUACUGAAAUUUGUUUGAGAGAAUGUAAUACCUCUUAGUGGACUAUUUCAGCAAGAUUUGAUGCUGUUGUUGCAUUUUUUUUAAUUUCUUUCUCUUUGUUUUUUAGAUAUUUAAAGCAUAUGAUGUGAUAUUGUUGGUAGUUUGUACUAAGUACGCUGUAAAUGCUCCAAGAUCAGUUGUUUUCUGGUCACUUACAUGUUUGUCCAUUGGCUACA